rnacentral:rRNA from 1 species
UACGUAGGUGGCAAGCGUUGUCCGGAUUAUUGGGUUUAAAGGGUGCGUAGGUGGUCUAUUAAGUCAGUGCUGAAAUAUCCCGGCUUAACCGGGAGGGUGGCAUUGAUACUGUGGAGCUUGAGUAAAGUUGAGGUAGGCGGAAUUGAUGGUGUAGCGGUGAAAUGCUUAGAUAUCAUCAAGAACAUCGAUUGCGAAGGCAGCUUACUAAGUUUUAACUGACGCUGAGGCACGAAAGCGUGGGGAUCGAACAGG